UGCUGCCUCAGGCCUCUGAUCAUGGCGGGAGUCUGAACUGAAGCUCUCUGUCAGUGUGACUUUGAUAUUCCUAUACCUUUCUGGAAAUUGUGCCCACAGUGAACUGUGCUGGAGGUCUUGUUGUGAGGCUCUGAGGCCGUCAGGGGUCACAGACGUUGCCGGCUGCUCCUCUGGCUUCGCUUGCUCUGGGGGAAGCCAGCUGACCUGCUGUGAGAACAUUCAGGUAGCUCGAGGAUCAUCCAACUUGCCCGCCGGGAGUGACUGCAGCCUCCGCUGUCCCCUGACUGACCCUCCUGGGACCCUGUGCCGGAAAAACCCAGAAACCACUGGAAAUAAGAAGAAAGAGACUGCUGACCUACCUGUUUGCCUGGGCAUCUAGAAAAUAAUUUUAAAUAUUUAUAUGUGAUCUGCAGGAGAUUACACAUUUGCCACGGAGAACUUCAAUUAUUAGGUACAUGCACCUAUGGGCCUCCUAAGCCUGUCCAGAAUCAGAGCACCCA